rnacentral:lncRNA from 1 species
GGGUAGCAAGAAAAUCUGGUGUCAAACAUAUUUUAACCAAUGAAACCAGAUGCUCCGCAGGGCACAGCUUUAUACGACUGCAGAGGUUGAACCCUGAACGGUUGGGGCAAGUAUGGACACAACAUUCAAGCUGGAUUCAGCUCUAAAUUUGGAUUGUGAUUAAAUAGUUGACACAGCAUAGGUUUCUGACACAUAAUGAAUGUGGUCUAAUGAACUUAAAAUUUUUUUUGCCUUUGAGCAAUUCACUAUGCUGUUGAAUAUUAAUCCUCUCAAAAAAAAUGUUUGAAGAAAUUUUCUUUUUAGAAAUCUGAAAUGAAAAAAAUUGAACCCCCCCCCCCUCCAAUUUUUUUUUCACAUCCCCCUUUCCCUUAUUCCAAAACUGAUCUCAAUUCAAAUUUCUAAUGGAGUUUGCAACAAUAACUAC